CGAACGGGUGAGUAAUACAUCGGAAUGUACCCAGUAGUGGGGGAUAACGUACCGAAAGGUACGCUAAUACCGCAUACGACCUACGGGUGAAAGCGGGGGAUCGCAAGACCUCGCGCUAUUGGAGCAGCCGAUGGCCGAUUAGCUAGUUGGUGAGGUAAAGGCUCACCAAGGCGACGAUCGGUAGCUGGUCUGAGAGGACGAUCAGCCACACUGGGACUGAGACACGGCCCAG
rnacentral:rRNA from 1 species